AAAAGCUCGUAGUUGGAUUUCGGAGUGGGCCAGUUGGUCCGCCGCAAGGUGUGUUACUGACUGGUUUGCUCUUCUUCGCAAAGACUGCGUGUGCUCUUUAUUGAGUGUGCGUAGGAUUUACGACGUUUACUUUGAAAAAAUUAGAGUGUUCAAAGCAGGCUAUUGCUUGAAUACAUGAGCAUGGAAUAAUGGAAUAGGAUUUUGGUCCCGUUUUGUUGGUUUCUAGGACCGAAGUAAUGAUUAAGAGGGACAAUUGGGGGCAUCCGUAUUUCGUUGUCAGAGGUGAAAUUCUUGGAUUUACGAAAGACGAACAACUGCGAAAGCACUUGCCAAGAGUGUUUUCAUUAAUCAAGAACGAAAGUUAGAGGAUCGAAGACGAUCAGAUACCGUCCUAGUUCUAACCAUAAACGAUGUCGACUAGGGAUCAGCGGGCGUUAUCGUACGACCCCGUUGGCACCUUACGGGAAACCAAAGUUUCUGGAUUCCGGGGGAAGUAUAGUCGCAAGUCCGAAACUUAAAGGAAUUGACGGAAGGGCACCACCAGGAGUGGAGCCUGUGGCUCAAUUUGACUCAACACGGGAAAACUUACCAGGUCCAGA
rnacentral:rRNA from 1 species